rnacentral:lncRNA from 10 species
CCAGAGUUGUAUGUGAGGAAAUAAAGGCUUGAGAGAUCUUGAGGUGGCAGUUUACAGGAGGGUAAAAGGAAACAGGAGUUAGAAUAAACAAUGUUAGUAAAAACUUGGAUGCAAGAUUGACCUUAUGCAAUCUCUAAGGUACAUUGAAUUGAAUGAGGGAGAGAGUUCUAAACUGCUUGUUCUCAGUCUACUCCACCUCCUGAAUAUAUCUGUCCAUCUAAGAAAAGGAUUAAAUUCAAGAUAACCCUUGUCAUCUGCAUGCUGCCACAUGGUUAGGAUGAAGACUGACACACGAGACAAGUGAUGGAGUGUCACAGCCACAGAGGGGCACAUCAACCUGAUACAAGAGAAAUGGAGCGAGGAGAGGGUUAAAUCACAGAAUUUGGAAAGAAAAAGGGCAUCCAACAGCCUUAAAGAUGAAGAAAUGGAAGCUCCAGAGUUGAAGAAAUGUGUCUUCACUCCCACAAGUAAUCUUGAAGUUCCGAGCCACCAUGAGAGUUUUCCUGACACUGAGGUAAUUUCCUACCAUGUUGACACCACCUUGCGCCAGUGUUCAAGACCAUCACAGCUAUGAACCUUGUUGGCUUGUAUCAGAUGCCUGCUGGGACCUUGGCUGCCCAUAGUGCUCUCUAAAGACUCCAGCUUUCCAUAACUCCUACAGUUUUAAGUUCAAGGAAUGAUGAAGAGGACGCCAAUGUACGGAUUUGAUUUACCAAAUCAGGCCUGUACAGCAGCUGAAUCAACCUAUGGGAAAAUUUUGGCUCUCUUUAACAUUCUAAUUUUUGAGAACACCAUUGCAAAUACAUGAUUUCCAAAAUAAUAACAAUGCACUUAAUUAAUCACAUUAUAGAUCAUCAUAUAAAAAUAAAUACCUAAAUAGAAAUACAAUUUAUUUUUUUCUUAAAUUCCAAAUUGCAUAGAGCUGCCUCCUCUGCAGUUUUCCAUCACUGCCUCCUUCUCAGACUUCUCCUUUUGUUUUUUCAUUUCUUUGUACAGACUCCAGUCAUUUGUUUAAAUAUUCAUACUCAACCAGAAUACGUUUCCUAAUGUGGGAAUCAUUGCUUAUUCACAGGCACAGCCCUUGACAUCCUGAAAACAUGUAGUAAUGAUUUUUGGAAUAAAGGUUUGACACUUCUACAUUUACAUGUAAAUGGAGUUAAAAAAUUCUAGGUUGAGAAUAAGAAUACUAUAAAAAUUUUGAUCUAAAAUGGAUGUUAGAGAUAACCCAGCGCAACCAGUUGCUCUUACAAUUGAGGAAACUGAGGUCAAGAAUGAGUGAGUGGCUCAGAGUCACCCAGCUCAUUAGAGCCUGAAUGAACCACCUUGGUUCACUACCUCUGUUCACCGCCCUUUCUAGUGCACUUCAUGAAAUCACUCUCUAAGUACACAUCAACUCAUUUAGAUACUUAAAUGAUUCUUGAGAAAGUAGAAAGUAUAAAUGCCUUGACCACACAUAAGAACUUUGACAUAUUUCACUCUCUGUACUGAAAUUUCUAACAAUGCCUGGUACAUAAUAGGUAUUCAGUUGAUUUGGGUUUCUACAUCCCUUUUCUCCUUCUCUUCUUCAAGUUUGCAUGUAAACCACAUUAAAGACUGCUAAUAUAUAAAGUAGGCACCAUCUCAUGAAUCAAAGAGGGGAUUCCUAGAGCCACUGAGGAUGUCUUUAGAAGCCAGUGGUGCUGAUCCCACAGCUACUCUCCUGUGGACAGUGGAAGUGCUCCCCAAAGUACAUUCUUAGGGGAAAUGGGGCUGCCGCCAUGAGGAGGUGUCAAUAGAGAUUAGAGAUGGUCUUUGUGCUGUGAGAGAGACCUCACAUUUCCAAAUGCCAAGUCCUUUCUUCCUCAGUCAAAUGUACCCCCUAGAACAUAGAUACCUACUAAGCUGUAGAUUUUUGAGGGGAUACAGAGCUGAAUCCAUAAGAUAGUGGAUUAUUCAGAUAAGAAUUUCUGUAGAUAGAGAGUUUCCAAUCAAUUAUGUACCCCAACAAUGUGAGGUCAACUACUUAGACUACCUCUUAGCUUCUACAUUUAGAUGUUUCAAAGUCUGUUCUGAUCCUUAAAUUUGACACUUCUCUUUAAUAUAAACAAAGCCCUUUUAGUAUUCUUUGGGAUUAGCUUACCACUUAAUAAAUUCCUUCCAACACUAUCUUCUGUGAGUCAACAAACAGCUUCCUCCUG